GCUAAAUAUCUAGCCCCACUUCCUUAUAUUUACACCCCUUAUUUUCUUCUUCUAACCAAAACAUUUUUUCAGUCCAGUAAAGGCGAUUAAAAAACUCCUCGGAGCAAUAAACAUAGUACCGCAAGGGAAAGAUGAAAUAAAAAUGAAAUAGUUUUAAAGCACAAAAAAGUAGAGCUUAACUCUCGUACCUUUUGCAUCAUGAUUUAACUAGUCUAACCAAGCAAAAAGACUUUUAGUUUGACUUCCCGAACCUCGGCGAGCUACCUUAGGACAGCUUUUUGAGCUAAUCCGUCUCUGUUGCAAAAGAGUGGAAUGAUCUUAAGGUAGAGGUGAUAAACCAAACGAGCCCAGUGAUAGCUGGUUGCUUAUGAAAAGGAUUUUAGUCCUGCUUAAAGAUUUUUUGCCCUACAAAGCCUAGUCUUUAAAGUUAUUCAAAUAAGGUACAGCCUAUUUGAAAAAGGAUACAGCCUCAACUCUUGGGUUAUUUUUUAAGGAUUAAUGCCAAAGUGGGCCUAAAAGCAGCCAUCUUAAACGAAAGCGUCAAAGCUUACUCAUUUUUCCGUAUAAUUCCCCUACCUCCCCCAAACCCCUCAUUUUUAAAAAGCAGCUCUAUACCCAUAUAGAAAAUUUUAUGUUAAAACUAGUAAUAAGAAGAAAACCUUCUCCUCAAUGUGAGUGUAUAUCAGCAAGGAUUCUCCACUGAUUCUUAACGUCCCUAAUAAUAAAUGUAACAACUUAUCAAGAAAAACUUACUUCUCCUAACGUUAACCUAACACAAGAACAUUCAAGGAAAGAUUAAAAGAGAAAGAAGGAACUCGGCAAAUUUUAGCCCCGCCUGUUUACCAAAAACAUCGCCUCCUGAUUUUAUUAUGGGAGGUCCAGCCUGCCCAGUGACAUUGUUCAACGGCCGCGGUAUCCUAACCGUGCGAAGGUAGCGUAAUCACUUGUUCUUUAAAUGAGGACUAGUAUGAACGGCUUCACGAAGGCUAUACUGUCUCCUCUCCCUAAUCAAUGAAACUAAUCUCCUCGUGAAGAAGCGAGAAUUAAUCUAUAAGACGAGAAGACCCUAUGGAGCUUUAAACAACUGAAAUACUUGCUUCUUUUAUUCUACUUUCCGAAAAUAAAAUAUAAUCUAGCACCUUUAUUUCUAGUUUUAGGUUGGGGUGACCACGGAGCAAAAAAUAACCUCCACGCUGGAAGAAACUACUUUUUCUUAGCAAAAAGCUACAGCUUCAUGCAUCAACAAAUUGACUUCUAUUGACCCAAUAAUUUGAUCAACGAACCAAGUUACCCUAGGGAUAACAGCGCAAUCUAUUUCAAGAGCUCAUAUCGACAAAUAGGUUUACGACCUCGAUGUUGGAUCAGGGUAUCCCAGUGGUGCAGCCGCUACUAACGGUUCGUUGUGAACGAUAAAAAC
rnacentral:rRNA from 1 species